rnacentral:tRNA from 1 species
CCUUCGAUAGCUCAGUUGGUAGAGCGGUGGACUGUAGAGAAAAUUCGGAGUGUGUUGCUUUCAAGUCGAAAUGCACUUGAGCCAAACCUUCAAGAGUUGUAAAAGAAAUCCAUAGGUCACUGGUUCAAAUCCGGUUCGAAGGA